GGAUUGCCGAGUGAUUCCCUUGGGCUGGAGCCGCCAGUCGUGCAAUGCCCCGGGUUUGGGAGCAUGCAGGGGCAAAACGUAUAAACAGAGCAAGUCGCUCUGCAUCGCUGAAGCAAGAGCAUCAGCUGAGGUCAAUGUUGCCUCUGCAGGAAUGCCUGCAAGAUGUUGAGACCUACUGCAUCAACAGGAUGCUGACCAUGACCUGGCUAAGUUUCUACGACAUUGACAAUUGGGAAAGGCAUCGUGCUCGUCGGUACACUUGUCAUCACCCUGGAGUUGGAAACCAGGAGUUGAUACUCUGUAAAACGUGUGAGAUAAGGGGAGAAAGAUAUCAGCAACAGUCUGACAGCUAUGCUGUCAUUAGUAAUUAAACAUUAAUGGAAAAUCGUUGCAGAAGCUACCGUUCACUCAUACAGAAGAGCCUGGAGAUGCCAGAGUUAGCCUUGCUGGACUGCACUGGGUAUAUACUGACGAUUUGAUUCCUCAGCUGCCAAGGGUGAUAAAAUGGUUCUGUAAGGAAUAGGCAGAUCUCCAUAAUUUGUGCCAAAUCCUAGCUGUUACUGAACAAAAAGAGGAAGAUGGAGAAGGGAGCAUGCUCCUGUUAUCUAGGCAGUAUACAUGUGAUGCUAUGGAGAAAUUCCUGGGGACAGAUACCAGUUAUCAGCUGCAGACUUUGAAAUCCGUUCUUAAUCUCCCUAUGUGACCUUCAGGCCUUUAAAAAAAAAAAAAAAAAAAAAAAAA